GAUUGCUACUUUUUCAUGAAUAUACUGUUUUGAAUACUAGCUGCCUUUAAGAUAUAGUGUAAUUUGCAUAACUAAACUAUUGUUUAGCUUUCAUUACUAGGAGAUGGCUACUGAUCAGUUGAUCGACCGUGGUCAUACUAUAUCCGGUCGAGGUCGUGUCUCUUGCCGUGGCAGACCCAUCAUAGGGAAUGUGGCAUAUUCGCACCCUAGUGUCAUAGCCUCCUCGCCAUCCUCUGUGAAUUCUAUUGAACCAACCAAUCAAUAUCAUCAUACUUUAUCAUCUCCUAGUCACUUCACUGCUGAUAUGCUGAUAGGGGUUUCACCUCCACCUAUCCCUCAUAUCCCACAUGCACCCAGCACGCAGGGCCCACCAUUGGACACAGAGGGUGCCAGUGGCUCUUCUUCCUAGAAUAUUGGGGUUGUGCCUCCUCAAAAUAGCCUUAUAUUGAUACGGCCUGCUUCGGCUGCUCUUUUUGAUCCUUUUGAUGUUACUUGGAAGAUAAGCGAGAUCAUAAAGAUCAAGUAUGAACGAGCCGUGACACAAUGGAGUGAUUUUACUCCCGAGGAAAAAGAAUGUUACUUUAAGGAGUUCAAGAGUAAAUUUACAUGGGACCCUUCUCAUGAUGUUGCAAUAAAGAAACUGUGGAAUAAGAAGAGUGGAGAAUUAUUUCGGGGCAUGAUACAUAGGGCACGAGAAAACCCCACCAAAGUUGUCUAGAUCCCCAUUGCAGUCCUUUCUGAACUUCAACGUAUUUGGGAUGGACCAGAGUACAAGAAGAAAAGGGAACAGGGGAAGAAAAAUCGAGCAUUUGAGGAUAGUUGUUCUCACAUUGGUGGCUCUAUUCCUCACACGGAGUAUCGUAAGAGAAUGAUAAAUUUUGAGUAAAUUUAACAAUUUCAAUUUUUAUCUUAUUUAAACUUUAAAUAUCAUAUGUCUUUUGCAAUUUUAAUUGUAGAAGGUGGAACUUGGCUGGGAUCCCACCAAGGCAGAGGUAUUUGUUCGCACUCGUUGAAAAAAGAGUAUGCAAUAGUUAGUCGAUGGACGAGCAACAACUACAAUUGUAAGUAUUUAAAUUUAUAUUUGAAUAAAGGUAAAAGUUGAUAACAAUCAAAAAUCGUAUAAUGCAUAUAAGACAUAAUAGUUAUUACUCUGUUAAAUAUAAGAAACUAUAUUCUUAUAUGAUUGCCUGUUAAAUAUACUGUGAAAUAUAUUGGUUGUGGUAGGUAAAAGAUGAUAAAAAUUCAAGA